rnacentral:rRNA from 1 species
AGCAGCCGCGGUAAUUCCAGCUCCAAUAGCGUAUAUUAAAGUUGUUGCAGUUAAAAAGCUCGUAGUUGAAUUUCGGGGUCAGUAGGUUGGUCGUGCCACUGGUAUGUACUGGUCUCACUGAUUCCUCCUUCCUGAUGAGCUGUAAUGCCAUUAAUUUGGUGUUGCAGGGAAUCUGGACUGUUACUUUGAAAAAAUUAGAGUGUUUAAAGCAGGCUAACGCUUGAAUACAUUAGCAUGGAAUAAUGAAAUAGGACGUUCGAUCCUAUUUUGUUGGUUUCUAGGAUUGACGUAAUGAUUAAUAGGGAUAGUUGGGGGCAUUAGUAUUCAAUUGUCAGAGGUGAAAUUCUUGGAUUUAUUGAAGACUAACUACUGCGAAAGCAUUUGCCAAGGAUGUUUUCAUUAAUCAAGAACGAAAGUUAGGGGAUCGAAGACGAUCAGAUACCGUCGUAGUCUUAACCAUAAACUAUGCCGACUAGGGAUCGGAUGAUGUUAAUUUUUUAAUGACUCC